AACGCACAUUGCGCCCUUUGGCAUUCCGAAGGGCAUGCCCGUUCGAGCGUCAUUACACCAAUCAAGCCUGGCUUGGUAUUGGGCGUCGGGGACCCUCCCCCGCGCCCCCAAUUCGUCGGCUGGACGGUUCGAAUCUCAGCGUUGUGGUCAAUCAAUUCGCUGGCGACGACGACCGGACGCGCCGUUAAACCUCACUACAGGUUGACCUCGGAUCGGGUAGGGAUACCCGCUGAACUUAA
rnacentral:misc_RNA from 2 species